GAUGAACGCUGGCGGCGUGCCUAAUACAUGCAAGUCGAGCGAACAGACGAGGAGCUUGCUCCUCUUACGUUAGCGGCGGACGGGUGAGUAACACGUGGAUAACCUACCUAUAAGACUGGGAUAACUUCGGGAAACCGGAGCUAAUACCGGAUAAUAUAUUGAACCGCAUGGUUCAAUAGUGAAAGACGGUUUUGCUGUCACUUAUAGAUGGAUCCGCGCCGCAUUAGCGAGUUGGUAAGGUAACGGCUUACCAAGGCAACGAUGCGUAGCCGACCUGAGAGGGUGAUCGGCCACACUGGAACUGAGACACGGUCCAGACUCCUACGGGAGGCAGCAGUAGGGAAUCUUCCGCAAUGGGCGAAAGCCUGACGGAGCAACGCCGCGUGAGUGAUGAAGGUCUUCGGAUCGUAAAACUCUGUUAUUAGGGAAGAACAAAUGUGUAAGUAACUAUGCACGUCUUGACGGUACCUAAUCAGAAAGCCAGGGCUAACUACGUG
rnacentral:rRNA from 1 species